rnacentral:tRNA from 1 species
AGAUAAGUUUUAAAUCAUGUGUCUUUCUAUCGAUUUAAAACGAAAAAUAGGAAAGACUAAGCAUGUAGUAUCAAUAGAAUUAAAAUUUCGGACGCGGGUUCGAAUCCCGCCAGCUCCA